rnacentral:rRNA from 1 species
GAUGAACGCUGGCGGCGUGCCUAAUACAUGCAAGUCGAGCGAACAGACGAGGAGCUUGCCCCUCUGACGUUAGCGGCGGACGGGUGAGUAACACGUGGAUAACCUACCUAUAAGACUGGGAUAACUUCGGGAAGCCGGAGCUAAUACCGGAUAAUAUAUUGAACCGCAUGGUUCAAUAGUGAAAGACGGUUUUGCUGUCACUUAUAGAUGGAUCCGCGCCGCAUUAGCUAGUUGGUAAGGUAACGGCUUACCAAGGCAACGAUGCGUAGCCGACCUGAGAGGGUGAUCGGCCACACUGGAACUGAGACACGGUCCAGACUCCUACGGGAGGCAGCAGUAGGGAAUCUUCCGCAAUGGGCGAAAGCCUGACGGAGCAACGCCGCGUGAGUGAUGAAGGUCUUCGGAUCGUAAAACUCUGUUAUUAGGGAAGAACAAAUGUGUAAGUAACUAUGCACGUCUUGACGGUACCUAAUCAGAAAGCCACGGCUAACUACGUG